GGAAGACACAUUUCCAAGAGAUUCACCAGCCCUUAAACAGUAUCUGGGACAAAAAUGGAGACCCUGCAUCUCAUGGGACAGGAAUAAAGGGAAAUUUCUCCAGGUUCCAGAUAGAGGGGGCUUUUCUGGGCACUAUUGCAAAGAUGAUCCCAAAGUGGGAGGGAGGUGUGAAAACUAAAAGAAGGUCAGGAACAGAAAGAAAUGGCAAUUUGGAACUGGUCUGGACCAGAAAUACAGGACAGCUUGGAGUGGUGACUUUACCCUAAUCUCCCAGACAGGGAGAGUUCAGGAGACUACCAGCCUCCCAGGCUGCACAAGACAGCAGCAGAAGGAAAGUCACCUCUGUUUGCUGACAUCUUUACCAGGUCUGGGCAAAG